UGGGGAAUCUUGCGCAAUGGGGGAAACCCUGACGCAGCGACGCCGCGUGAGCGAUGAAGGCCUUCGGGUUGUAAAGCUCUGUGGGGAGGGACGAAUAAGUGUUGGCUAAUAUCCAACAUGAUGACGGUACCUCCUUAGCAAGCACCGGCUAACUCUGUGCCAGCAGCCGCGGUAAGACAGAGGGUGCAAACGUUGUUCGGAAUCACUGGGCGUAAAGCGCGUGUAGGCUGCUGCGCAAGUCGGAUGUGAAAUCCCACGGCUCAACCAUGGAAGUGCAUUCGAAACUGCGUAGCUAGAGUUUUGGAGAGGAAGGCGGAAUACUCGGUGUAGAGGUGAAAUUCGUAGAUAUCGAGUGGAACACCGGUGGCGAAGGCGGCCUUCUGGACAAUGACUGACGCUGAAACGCGAAAGCGUGGGGUGCAAACAG
rnacentral:rRNA from 1 species